GUGGGGAAUUUUUGGCAAUGGGGGCAACCCUGACCAAGCAACGCCGCGUGGGUGAUGAAGUCUCUUGGGACGUAAAACCCUUUCGACGGGGAAGAAACCGCAAGGUUGACGGUACCCGUAGAAGAAGCCCCGGCUAACUACGUGCCAGCAGCCGCGGUAAUACGUAGGGGGCAAGCGUUGUCCGGAAUUAUUGGGCGUAAAGCGCUCGCAGGCGGUCUUUUAAGUCUGAUGUGAAAGCCCACGGCUUAACCGUGGAGGGUCAUUGGAAACUGGAGGACUUGAGUACAGAAGAGGAGAGUGGAAUUCCACGUGUAGCGGUGAAAUGCGUAGAGAUGUGGAGGAACACCAGUGGCGAAGGCGACUCUCUGGUCUGUAACUGACGCUGAGGAGCGAAAGCGUGGGGAGCAAACAGGAUUAGAUACCCCAGUAGUCC
rnacentral:rRNA from 1 species